rnacentral:lncRNA from 1 species
AACAUGUAGGCAGGCAUGUGCAAUGGUCGGGUAAAUUUGAUAUAUACAAAAAGAAGAAGUCAAAAACUCAAAAUAAGUUUUUCAACCAUUCGGAUAUUUAUAUAUAUAUUCUAGGACUAGGAGGGUAGGAUUAUUAUCUAUCUUUAAAAAAACACCACCUAAUCUCGAACAAAUUAUUAAUAAUUAAUUAUCGUUACCUGUUCAAACCUCAACAGUCAACACCAGUGAUCAGCCAUUCCUCAUCGUUAAUCUCCUCAUCCACCCUCUCCUAAUUCCCUUGCCAGGGACGUCCGUCGGUGCAUGGGAUGCUGAAUUCUGCUUGCUCGAUCUCUUCCACUGCAAAACCUAGAUUAACAAUUAUUAAUAAGCAUAAUAUGUUUGCUUAAUUAUCACAUUCGAUCUUCACGUACGUUGCAUACCUGAAAGAAAAGAUGGCCGACCCUCUUCUUCCAUCUCAAACCGGCGCGGCGAUCGACAACGACACUAUGGUCGUCGAAAUUCUGUCGGGACUGCGUGGCAGCAACAUUGGUCUUCUUCUCCCAGGAGGCUUUACCAUCGUCUUCGAACUUAAUUGAUAUAAAGGAGUCUGCCAACAAACAAGAUCGAACGUGUCUUAAUUGUGUUUUUUUACUACUGUACUGACAUGUUAUGUUACACGUCAAUCAUAUCAAUGAUUAAUAAUGAAACCGAAAUAAAGAAUGCAUGAUAUUAUAGAUAUACCAUCAACGCUCGGGAUGGAAUCAACCUCGUCGGAGCUCCGGAAUCUACGCCGGUGGAGGAAAGAUGUAAAGGAGAAUGCUCUGGGAAUAACGGAUGAGGUGGUUGACUGUUUUUUCAAUGAUGGUCUACGUCGAGACCUGUCUUUCCAUAUGAUAACGUUUUACGCUCUGCGGCCAAGAUCAGAAGUCUCUCUCUCAAGCACAAAGCGCAUACUCCCACCAAAGGCUCUAUAGGGUGGAAGCAGCAGGAAAAUGGGUUCGGGUUCUCGCCUCUUCUGCCGUCCAUGGCCGUUUGCUUCAGUUGCCGGAGGAUCGGGGUUAUGUUAUGUAUGAUUAAAAAGCUGAAAGAAAAAAAGAGAGAAAAGAGAGAGGAAAGAUUGUAAAAAGAGUAACAUGGUGUUGUGGGAAGUGGGUAUAAAUAAAGGAGUUUGAUGUGAACAUACGAGCCGAUUUGCACAUCAGCACAUGGGUUGUGGUCUUGUGGAUGAACCGUCACCGGAAGAGAGGGGAAACAGGAUGCAUUCUGCCAUUGUGAUAAGGACUAAUGGUUAAAAAUCUGAUCAUGCCCAUUUAUAAAAUGAAAAAAUUGCUUUUAAAAGAAUAAAGAAUGGGAAUUAUUUGGACAACUUGCAGGAUC